rnacentral:lncRNA from 1 species
UUUUAACUUCAACAAAAACCACAUAAUCAAACUCUUAAAACUAUAAUCAACACCACAACAAUCAUCCAAAAUCAGAUCAACAACACCCAUUCACUCCAAAAAGAAACUGUGAUCCACCAAAAUCCUUCCUCUUUGACCAUCAAACAAAGAAAAGAAAAUUUCUCACAAAUGACUCGUACACCUACAUUGAACAACAACAACGACACUACUCUUCUGUCUCUCUUCCAUUUUGCUUCUAACACAGAUCUUCCUCCAAUUCUUCAUCUUGGUAGUAUGUUUCUUUUUCUAUGUCUUUUUCUGUUUUUUUGGUUUUUUUUUAAUUCAUGUUCUAUAAGCUAGGAAUUGAUUAUAAAGUUGCAAUCUUUUAUGUAUAUAAAUUAAAAGGUCAUCGUUAGUUUAUAAUAAUCCAAUAAAAAAUACCAUAAAGUUAUCAUUUUUAUUAUUUUUGAAUACUCUUUAGAUCAUAUGGGUUAUUGAUUAAUUAAUUGAGUUUUGAAAUUAUUUUACGGAUUUUGAUUAGAUUUGGUGAAGAAGAAAAAGUUGGGUAGUGUGUGAUUAUGAAUUGAAGUGCAAUUGGGUUAAGAAAUGAAGGUGAGCCAUGCUUCAAUUCACCCAGUUGAAGAAGUUCCAACUACUGAUGGCGAUGGUGGUGUUGAUGUUGCUGAACGAAAUAGUGAGGAUGAAGGAUAUUCAAGGCAUGCCCGAUACUGCUGGUGGCCUUUCUCUGCGUAUUUUUCAAUUUAUUUUCGCUGCUGAUGCGCUGUCUGCUAUGGCUUUCACUAGUUAUUUUCCUAACAUCAAACACCUUCCCUCUAUGUCUUUUGGUGAAAGGGAAUGAUUUUGGUGAUAAAAAGUUUCUUUUUGGAGUUAAUGAGUUUUGGACUUUGAUGAUCUGAUUUUGAAUGAUGUUGAUGGUGUUAAUUAUAAAUUUAAAUGUUUGAUUUUGUGAAUUUUGUUGAAGUUGAAAUGAUGAAUUUUUAAAAGUAAAAAAAGAGUUGAAGAUGAUGAAGAUUGAUGAAGGUUGUAUGAAUAUGAAGAUGAGGGAAGAAGAUGAAGAAAAGUAAAAUAAUUCAGGUGUUGGUGAUACACAGUUAGAUAUGAUAGAUCUCAUUUAUCCAACGGUCUCCUUUUUUUGGGGGUUAAAAUUAAUAAAAUAGGACCAAAUUGAAUGAUGGAAAGAAGAUAAAUGACCGAUUUGGAGCGUUUAAUAGUUAGGGGACCAAAUUAAAAACUGAAAAUAAGUUAAAGGACCAAAUAAUAUAUUAAACCAAUGAUCAGUUAAGCAAAAUAACAAAGACAAAAUUUACUAAUUGAU